GACGAACGCUGGCGGCGUGCUUAACACAUGCAAGUCGAACGGGCCUUGUCCCCUUUUUUUUUGGGGGUGGGGUUAGUGGCGAACGGGUGAGUAACACGUGAGUAACCUGCCCCUCACUUCUGGAUAACCGCUUGAAAGGGUGGCUAAUACGGGGUGUUCUGGCCUGCUCGCAUGGGUGGGUUUGGAAAGAUUCGACCGGUUUUUGUUGUUUUGGUGGGGGAUGGGCUCGCGGCCUAUCAGCUUGUUGGUGGGGUGAUGGCCUGCCAAGGCUUUGACGGGUGGCCGGCCUGAGGGGGUGGGCGGUCACACUGGGACUGAGACACGGCCCAGACUCCUACGGGAGGCAGCAGUGGGGAAUAUUGCACAAUGGGCGCAAGCCUGAUGCAGCGCCGCCGCGUGAGGGAUGGAGGCCUUCGGGUUGUGAACCUCUUUCGCCAGUGAAGAAGGUCCUGCUCUUUGUGGUGGGGUUGACGGUAGCUGGGUUAAUGAAGCGCCGGCUAACUACGUG
rnacentral:rRNA from 1 species